GAUGAACGCUGGCGGCGUGCCUAAUACAUGCAAGUCGAGCGAACAGAUAAGGAGCUUGCUCCUUUGACGUUAGCGGCGGACGGGUGAGUAACACGUGGGUAACCUACCUAUAAGACUGGGAUAACUUCGGGAAACCGGAGCUAAUACCGGAUAACAUUUGGAACCGCAUGGUUCUAAAGUGAAAGAUGGUUUUGCUAUCACUUAUAGAUGGACCCGCGCCGUAUUAGCUAGUUGGUAAGGUAACGGCUUACCAAGGCGACGAUACGUAGCCGACCUGAGAGGGUGAUCGGCCACACUGGAACUGAGACAUGGUCCAGACUCCUACGGGAGGCAGCAGUAGGGAAUCUUCCGCAAUGGGCGAAAGCCUGACGGAGCAACGCCGCGUGAGUGAUGAAGGGUUUCGGCUCGUAAAACUCUGUUAUUAGGGAAGAACAAAUGUGUAAGUAACUGUGCACGUCCUGACGGUACCUAAUCAGAAAGCCACGGCUAACUACGUG
rnacentral:rRNA from 1 species